rnacentral:rRNA from 1 species
UACGUAGGUGGCAAGCGUUGUCCGGAAUCACUGGGCGUAAAGAGCGCGUAGGCGGCGCGAUACGACCGAUGUCGAAAGCCCCCGGCUCAACUGGGGAGGUCAUCGGUAACGGUCGUGCUAUGAGUGCAGGAGAGGGUCGUGGAAUUCCCAGUGUAGAGGUGAAAUUCGUAGAUAUUGGGAAGAACACCGGUGGCGAAGGCGGCGACCUGGUCCGUUGACUGACGCUGGAGGCGCGAAAGCG